GUAAUCCAUCCCUAAGCUGCUCCAAGUAACAAUCCUGUUAGUGGACCAGAAAGCUGCUUUCUCUCAGACCAUUGAUUUCAAAGCUGGAAAACAGCAGGCACUGUGUUGGGAGUAAGCAAUGUGGAGUCAUCUCUUCCCCCAGAGAAACGCUGACAAGUAUUAGCUCACAGACAUGUGUGCACAAAGAUGGAUGCUCACAGUUGUCCGUUGGAGCACUGUUUGAAGCAGCAAAAGGAACCAAUUCAACUUUCCCUGAGUAGGAAAAUGGCUAAAUAAAUGGUAACUUAUUCACAGAAGGGAAUAUAAUACAGCUGUUAAAAUCAUGAAAAAAGGACCUUCAAGAGGUGAUUGGGUCAUGAGAGUUCUGCACUCGUGAAUGGAUUAAUGUCAACAUCAUCAAGAAGCCCCUUGCCAGAAGCAAGCCUCAUGACUUAGGACUUUCCAGCCUCCAGAAUUGUAAGAAAUAGAUUUCUGUACUUCAUAUAAAAAAGUAUGAUGUGAUUGAUGCUU
rnacentral:lncRNA from 10 species